AAAUCGUUUACUGUUAACUCAAAUAAUACUACAAAAUUGUCUAGUUUUUAAAUCACAUAACUUUUCCUUUGUCAAUCAAUAAUUGUUUGGAGUUUUAGAGAAAUCACUUAAUCUGAAAAAUUUCUUGUAAAUCUAAAAUUUUUGUUCAAUUCCCCCAGAAAAUGUAAGGAGAGUUGCCUACAUACACAAAGACUGCCAUACACAUACGAUUAAUGGUCUGACUAGGCAAUGAGUUGAGAUUUGGACCAAUUAAAACGUAAAUAAGUCAAAAGACAAGUCAAAGCAAAAGAAAAAAAAAACGCUCACAUAAGGCAAACAAAAAACAACAACAUUAUACAACGCCAUAGUUAAGUACAAUAAUAAGAGUGGGGAUUUUGGGAAACACAAGAAAAGCGCCUCUAAAUAAACAAACAACAAUAGCAACAAAACCAAACACACACAGCCACCAACAGAAACUAGAAAAGCGAAUCAAUACGCCACCGUGAUCACCGUUAUUUAAUAAGAUCUUAGGUGAGCAAGUGAGACUGGGAAAGAGAAAGAGAGCGAGCGCGAGAGAGCGAAAGAAAAUGUUUGCAGCCUAGGCCGGCCUGCCAAAAGUUAGUGUUAUGUCCAAGGCUGAGUGGGUGUUUGGGUGUAUGUGUGUGUGUG